rnacentral:rRNA from 1 species
AUGGCUGUCGUCAGCUCGUGUCGUGAGAUGUUGGGUUAAGUCCCGCAACGAGCGCAACCCUCGCCUUUAGUUGCCAGCAUUUAGUUGGGCACUCUAGAGGGACUGCCGGUGAUAAGCCGGAGGAAGGUGGGGAUGACGUCAAGUCCUCAUGGCCCUUAUGGGUUGGGCUACACACGUGCUACAAUGGCGGCGACAGAGGGCAGCGAUCCCGCGAGGGGGAGCAAAUCUCUAAAAGCCGUCUCAGUUCGGAUUGCACUCUGCAACUCGGGUGCAUGAAGUUGGAAUCGCUAGUAAUCGCAGAACAGCAUGCUGCGGUGAAUACGUUCCCGGGCCUUGUACACACCGCCCGUGGGGCGGGGGCGGCGGGCCGGGCGCGGGGCGCGGCGGGCG